AUUGAACGCUGGCGGCAGGCCUAACACAUGCAAGUCGAGCGAGCGGCGGACGGGUGAGUAAUGUCUGGGAACUGCCCGAUGGAGGGGGAUAACUACUGGAAACGGUAGCUAAUACCGCAUCCUAUCGGAUAACCCAUAUGGGAUUAGCUAGUAGGUGGGGUAAUGGCUCACCUAGGCGACGAUCCCUAGCUGGUCUGAGAGGAUGCUCAGCCACACUGGAACUGAGACACGGCCCAGACUCCUACGGAGGCAGCAGUGGGGAAUAUUGCACAAUGGGCGCAAGCCUGAUGCAGCCAUGCCGCGUGUAUGAAGAAGGCCCUAGGGUUGUAAAGCACUUUCAGCCGGGAGGCGUUACCCACAGAAGAAGCACCGGCUAACGCCGUGCCAGCAGCCGCGGUAAUUC
rnacentral:rRNA from 1 species